AUUGAAUAGCCUGCAAUACUGAUGUAAUUGGGGACAGACCAAGGAGGAACCUGAUCCUUGAGCAUAUGCAGCAUAUCCCUAUCUGCUGACAAUCUGAUGCUUAAGCUAAACAUCCUUAAAUCUCUCAUCUCAUACUCAUGAGGCAUGAACUCAGGGCCUUCCACCAUCCUGGUUGUCCUCCCAAGCAUCUCCUCCAUUUUGUUUUUGUCAAGAAGAUUCACCUCAUUCACCUUUCUUUGCAAUAGAAGAUUUGCGUUACACUAAAGUUAUUCACUAUUACUAUCUGGGGAGAAGACUGGGUUAGUUGCCUUUUCUUUAUUC
ensembl:lncRNA